GAGUUUGAUCUUGGCUCAGGACGAACGCUGGCGGCGUGCUUAACACAUGCAAGUCGAGCGGUAAGGCUCCUUCGGGAGUACACGAGCGGCGAACGGGUGAGUAACACGUGAGCAAUCUGCCCUUCACUUUGGGAUAACUUCCGGAAACGGAAGCUAAUACCGAAUGCGACCAUCACAGACAUCUGUUGAUGGUGGAAAGUUCCGGCGGUGAAGGAUGAGCUCGCGGCCUAUCAGCUUGUUGGUGGGGUAACGGCCCACCAAGGCGACGACGGGUAGCCGGCCUGAGAGGGUGACCGGCCACACUGGGACUGAGACACGGCCCAGACUCCUACGGGAGGCAGCAGUGGGGAAUAUUGGACAAUGGGCGAAAGCCUGAUCCAGCAACGCCGCGUGAGGGAUGACGGCCUCGG
rnacentral:rRNA from 1 species